GAUUUUGAAUCUUGAUAUCUUCCCUUCGCCACUGCUGGUUCCUUUUCGCUUGAUCGGAUGCGAGCUUUUCAAGACGUCGGCAUAAGUCAUCGAUAAUCAGGAUGGAAAUUUAUGUCGCCAAACUUGAUGGCAUAAUCUGGAUGAAGGCUCAUGUCUCCAAUCUUGAUGACGUUCGUUUUUCCAACCGGAGAUUUCUUCUCUAGUCCACUUUUUCUCCCUCUUAAUCUCAGUUUCAGAAUUUCUCUGGUUCUUAACUUCAAUCACUGAUUUUCCCUUCACAGCUUUAUCUCCAUGCUUUUUAGCUUGAUACAUCACAGAUUUGUUUUUGUUUUCAACAUUCUUCUUAGUACACCAAGGUUGCAGCGUUUUUUGAUUUGCAAUUUUAGUGUCUCCAGCUCCUUGACAACAUGAUUUCACCUUUUCUUUUGCAGCAACCAUUGUUGCUUCUUCAUUCUCUGGCAUCUUAAGAUGAUAACUCUUUUUGAUCAUUGGCACCUCAGCUAUCUUCCUUCCAGCGGGAUCAUGAAUGAACAGCUCCAUUACCUACAUGGAUAGGAACAUUGAAGCUUGUGUUGAGGUUAAUGAACAGUUUCUCAUGUGAGGUCAUGUGAUUUGUGCAUCCACUAUCAAUGAGCCAGACAUUUUCUUCUAGUGUUUCUUCAUCCUCUUGUCUUGCUGUGAACAUAUGAUUUCGGAAAUGUGCAUGGAAGGCUCCUUCUGCUUCUUCUUCAUCCUCAGGAAAGAAUUUCUUCUCAUGUGCCUCAAGAGAUCCAACCAGCUCAGCAUAGAGCCCUCAUCUGAUUUGCUACAGCCUGAAUCCUAUCAGAGAGUGCUCUAGCAGCUUCCAUGCUUGAUGUGCUGAGGUUGCUGAGAGAAUCUUGUCAAACACCACAUCUGCCACUCCAUGUUGAAGAAUUUGAAGAGCAGCAGUAUCCUUAGCUUUGAGUGCCUUUAAGUUUGCAGCUUCUUUGGUCUUGUCUACUCCUGGAGUCUCUGGUGACUGAGAUCCCGGAUCUAGAACUCCAUCUUUUACUACCUCCCACAGAUCUUUGUUCAUCAGGGUUGUUUUCAUUCUUGCUGCCCAGAACUCAUAGUUCUGUCCAUCAAAAACAGCAACAAGUUGUGAAGAUUGCAAGGCUCCAAGAUCAAGUGUACUCUGAUACCAUGUUGCAAUUCUCAAAUUUUACUCAGGUUUUCUUAAACUCUCUCUUUCUUUUUUAAGAUUUUUCAUUCAUACUUCCAUUUAUUACAAGGACACACACAUACACAUACUUAUACAAGUUUUCUUUCACUAGCUAGUAGCUACUCACUUACCCUUACUCUCUCAUCUUACUUCUACAAUCUAGAUUCACUUACACAAGCAAUCCACUCCAUCAUUAGACUCCAACCACUCUUA